rnacentral:rRNA from 1 species
UACAGAGGGUGCGAGCGUUAAUCGGAAUUACUGGGCGUAAAGCGUGCGUAGGUGGUCUUUUAAGUCCGUUGUGAAAGCCCUGGGCUCAGCCUGGGAAUGGCAGUGGAUACUGGAAGGCUGGAGUACGGUAGAGGAGGGUGGAAUUCCCGGUGUAGAGGUGAAAUUCGUAGAUAUCGAGAGGAACACCGGUGGCGAAGGCGGCCAACUGGACGAAUACUGACGCUGAGACUCGAAAGCGUGGGGAGCAAACAGG